CCUACGGGUGGCAGCAGUGGGGAAUAUUGGGCAAUGGGCGCAAGCCUGACCCAGCAACGCCGCGUGAAGGAAGACGGCUUUCGGGUUGUAAACUUCUUUUCUCAGGGACGAAGAAAGUGACGGUACCUGAGGAAUAAGCGACGUCUAACUACGUGCCAGCAGCCGCGGCUAUACGUAGGUGGCAAGCGUUAACCGGAUUUAAUGGGUGUAAAGGGCGUGUAGGGGGGAGGGCAAGGCAAAUGGGAAAACUCAGGGCUCAACCCUGAGACUGCAGUUGAAACUGUGUUUCUUGAGAGCGUGAGAGGCAGUCGGAAUGCCGGGUGUAGCGGUGAAAUGCGUAGAUAUAAGGAGGAACACCAGUGGCGAAGGCGGAUUGCUGGACAGUAACUGACGCUGAGGCGCGAAAGCGUGGGGAGCAAACAGGAUUAGAUACCCGUGUAGUC
rnacentral:rRNA from 1 species